rnacentral:rRNA from 1 species
GACGAACGCUGGCGGCGUGCUUAACACAUGCAAGUCGAACGGUGAUCUUGGGAGCUUGCUCCUGGGUGAUCAGUGGCGAACGGGUGAGUAACACGUGAGUAACCUGCCCCUGACUCUGGAAUAACUUCGGGAAACCGAAGCUAAUACCGGAUAUGACACAGAGCCGCAUGGUUUCUGUGUGGAAAGUUUUUUCGGUUGGGGAUGGACUCGCGGCCUAUCAGCUUGUUGGUUAGGUAAUGGCUCACCAAGGCGACGACGGGUAGCCGGCCUGAGAGGGCGACCGGCCACACUGGGACUGCGACACGGCCCAGACUCCUACGGGAGGCAGCAGUGGGGAAUAUUGCACAAUGGGCGAAAGCCUGAUGCAGCGACGCCGCGUGAGGGAUGAAGGCCUUCGGGUUGUAAACCUCUUUUGAUGGGGAAGAAGACAGUGACGGUACCCAUCGAAUCAGCCUCGGCUAACUCCGUGCCAGCCGCCGCUGUAAUAC